AUUGAACGCUGGCGGCAGGCCUAACACAUGCAAGUCGAGCGCGCGGCGGACGGGUGAGUAAUGUCUGGGAAACUGCCUGAUGGAUGGGGAUAACUACUGGAAACGGUAGCUAAUACCGCAUACCAUCGGAUGUGCCCAGAUGGGAUUAGCUUGUAGGUUAGGUAACGGCGCACCUAGGCGACGAUCCCUAGCUGGUCUGAGAGGAUGACCAGCCACACUGGAACGGAGACACGGUCCAGACUCCUCCGUGAGGCAGCAGUGGGGAAUAUUGCACAAUGGACGCAAGCCUGAUGCAGCCAUGCCGCGUGUAGGAAGAAGGCCUGCGGGUUGUAAAGUACUUUCAGCGUGGAGGCGUUACCCGCAGAAGAAGCACCGGCUAACUCCGUGCCAGCAGCCGCGGUAAUUC
rnacentral:rRNA from 1 species